rnacentral:rRNA from 1 species
GUGAGGUAACGGCUCACCAAGACCGCGAUCGGUAGCCGGACUGAGAGGUUGAACGGCCACAUUGGGACUGAGACACGGCCCAGACUCNUACGGGAGGCAGCAGUGGGGGAUAUUGCGCAAUGGGGGCAACCCUGACGCAGCAACGCCGCGUGAAGGAUGAAGGUUUUCGGAUUGUAAACUUCUUUUAUUAAGGACGAAACUUGACGGUACUUAAUGAAUAAGCUCCGGCUAACUACGUGCCAGCAGCCGCGGUAAUACGUAGGGAGCAAGCGUUGUCCGGAUUUACUGGGUGUAAAGGGUGCGUAGGCGGCUUUGCAAGUCAGAUGUGAAAUCUAUGGGCUCAACCCAUAAACUGCAUUUGAAACUGUAGAGCUUGAGUGAAGUAGAGGCAGGCGGAAUUCCCCGUGUAGCGGUGAAAUGCGUAGAGAUGGGGAGGAACACCAGUGGCGAAGGCGGCCUGCUGGGCUUUAACUGACGCUGAGGCACGAAAGCGUGGGUAGCAAACAGGAUUAGAUACCCUGGUAGUCCACGCUGUAAACGAUGAUUACUAGGUGUGGGGGGUCUGACCCCUUCCGUGCCGGAGUUAACACAAUAAGUAAUCCACCUGGGGAGUACGGCCGCAAGGUUGCA